GAUGAACGCUGGCGGCGUGCCUAAUACAUGCAAGUCGAGCGAACAGACGAGGAGCUUGCUCCUCUGACGUUAGCGGCGGACGGGUGAGUAACACAUGGAUAACCUACCUAUAAGACUGGGAUAACUUCGGGAAACCGGAGCUAAUACCGGAUAAUAUAUUGAACCGCAUGGUUCAAUAGUGAAAGACGGUUUUGCUGUCACUUAUAGAUGGAUCCGCGCCGCAUUAGCUAGUUGGUAAGGUAACGGCUUACCAAGGCAACGAUGCGUAGCCGACCUGAGAGGGUGAUCGGCCGCACUAGAACUGAGACUCGGUCCAGACUCCGACGGGAGGCAGCAGUAGGGAGUCUUCCGCAAUUGGCCAAAGCCUGACGUAGCAACGCCGCGUUGGUGAUGAAGGUCUUCGUAUAGUAAAACUCUGUUAUUAGGGAAGAACAAAUGUGUAAGUAACUAUUCACGUCUUGACGGUACCUAAUCAGGAAGCCACGGCUAACUACGUG
rnacentral:rRNA from 1 species